rnacentral:rRNA from 1 species
CUAGCGACUUCAGAGUUUGAUCCUGGCUCAGGAUGAACGCUGGCGGCGUGCUUAACACAUGCAAGUCGAACGAAGCAUCUCUGAACAAUCCUUCGGGUGCGUUCCUGGAUGACUUAGUGGCGGACGGGUGAGUAACGCGUGGGUAACCUGCCGUAUGCAGGGGGACAACAGUUGGAAACGACUGCUAAUACCGCAUAAGCGCACGGUACUGCAUGGUACAGUGUGAAAAGAUUUAUCGGCAUACGAUGGACCUGCGUCUGAUUAGCUAGUUGGUGGGGUAACGGCCUACCAAGGCAACGAUCAGUAGCCGACUUGAGAGAGUGAUCGGCCACAUUGGGACUGAGACACGGCCCAA